rnacentral:misc_RNA from 1 species
UACGGAGGGGACUAGCGUUGUUCGGAACUACUGGGCGUAAAGCGCGCGUAGGCGGCGUGAUAAGCCGGUUGUGAAAGCCCUGGGCUCAACCCGGGAAUUGCAUUCGAUACUGCCGGGCUAGAGUAUGGUAGAGGGAAGUGGAAUUUCCGGUGUAGCGGUGAAAUGCGUAGAUAUCGGAAGGAACACCAGUGGCGAAGGCGUCUUCCUGGGCCAAUACUGACGCUGAGGCGCGAAAGCGUGGGUAGCAAACAGG